rnacentral:rRNA from 1 species
UACGAAGGGGGGCUAGCGUUGCUCGGAAUCACUGGGCGUAAAGGGUGCGUAGGCGGGUCUUUUAAGUCAGGGGUGAAAUCCUGGAGCUCAACUCCAGAACUGCCUUUGAUACUGAAGAUCUUGAGUUCGGGAGAGGUGAGUGGAACUGCGAGUGUAGAGGUGAAAUUCGUAGAUAUUCGCAAGAACACCAGUGGCGAAGGCGGCUCACUGGCCCGGUACUGACGCUGAGGCACGAAAGCGUGGGGAGCAAACAGG